GGCGUCAUCCGAUAUAACUUAUGCACUUAUGUAAUCACAUAAAGCUUAUCUGGACACGAAAGUAUUGACUCAAAACGUGUCUUACCAAUCGUUUGCACGUUCAAAGUGUACAUAUUUAAUUAACCAUAAUACACCAGCUAUAUUUAUCUGUAGAUGUUUGUUUUCAGUGUAUGAUUUUCAGCGUGUAAUUUUGUAGUGUACAACGUGGAUCAAAAGUCGCGUAUUGCUACAUAUAUAUGUUUCUUCUGUUUAAACUGAUAAACAUUUACAGCUCCAUACAAAACCCGGUUGAUUCCAUAAAAACGAAAGGAUGUUUUCCUCUGCCAAUAACACCUUCCACGAUAUCAAUGGAUGGGCACACACACUGAACUGGUAAGAGAAUGCUCACAAAAGAUUCACUUCCUUUCUGUCUGUUGUCAGUCCAUCAUAUUCACCACAGAUGCAUUUGCCCCUAUUUUGUUUUAUCUUAUGUUUUUUGUUGUGCAAAUAAAGGUUAUUUUUACGCA